rnacentral:rRNA from 1 species
UCCUACGGGAGGCAGCAGUAGGGAAUCUUCCGCAAUGGACGAAAGUCUGACGGAGCAACGCCGCGUGAGUGAUGAAGGUUUUCGGAUCGUAAAGCUCUGUUGUUAGGGAAGAACAAGUGCAAGAGUAACUGCUUGCACCUUGACGGUACCUAACCAGAAAGCCACGGCUAACUACGUGCCAGCAGCCGCGGUAAUACGUAGGUGGCAAGCGUUGUCCGGAAUUAUUGGGCGUAAAGGGCUCGCAGGCGGUUUCUUAAGUCUGAUGUGAAAGCCCCCGGCUCAACCGGGGAGGGUCAUUGGAAACUGGGAAACUUGAGUGCAGAAGAGGAGAGUGGAAUUCCACGUGUAGC